CGUCACACUUUUGUCCAUUCAGUGUUAAAAUCUAAUGGAAUCCACACGCAUACGAGUAUUCUAUUACAGUGAAAUUAAUGAUAACAAUGCAAUACAAAAUACCUGUUCUACUCAUUAAUCAUAUGUGACAUAAGUGUAAUCGUAAACAGUGUUCUUACUUCUGCUGUACUUAAGUGAUAAAAAUAGCUGGUCUGAUAAGGGUUGCUAUAGUUGUAAUCACAGAAUAUCAGCACACAAAAGAAUACGAAAUAUGGUUCGAGAUUUUAAUAACAGGUACCACAAUAAGUACACUUACAAAAAGUCUGUGACAAUAUUGUGUAUACACAAGGACUGCCCUUCUUUUCGGUCUUGAUACGUGACGUGAAAGUAAAAUGGAUUAACCGCUACGAACGCAGGUGUUCUAGACACCUCAGUCCUCAUCGAAUUUGGUGAAGAAAAUGUUGUGCACAUAAUUCAAAGGAAAAUAACAAUAAAAAAC